AAAAAAACUAUGCGUAGUACUACGUUAUUAUAUGAUAAGACAUCCCUGUUGUCUUACGCAUUUUAUAGGCGUUGCCAACUCUUCACUAUUAUUCAUUGAACAUACAACAAAUACCUACGAACAUGUAAAAAAAUGUAAACAAAAACACAUGCGACACAUCAAUGGUAAGUAUAUUUAUUAAUUUUGAUUUCUGGGAUUUUAAGGUAAAUGUAUCGUUUCAAUUUACCCAUAUAAGAUUUUAAUACUUUUCUUUUUUCAGGAUGUGAAAUUGAGUAUUGCAAACCUGCGGUCAUACUCAGCCGCCGACUUCAUCUUUAGCCACAACAUAGUUCCACUGCGGUAGGCUUUCCGCUUGAAGAAGGUGGACUAUAUUGAACCGGGACUAGGGCUGGAGAGUGGAUCCUCCAUGUGGCAAGGCUUUCCCUUUAAUUCUGAUUAUUUACAUGAGGGACUCGUGACAAAUAUUGAAAAUUUGAUCACCUCCCGACUCUUUUCUAAGUGGCCGCCACGCAAAAUUUUUUUUGGCCCCGACUUAGAAAAUUCGAAACCCACCACAACAAAACACCAGGUAUGGCCCGUAAGUGACAUAAUUGAACUCCCACACCCUGAGACUUAAGCCGGGCAUAAUUGAAAAAUUUAUUAUUGGUUGUAAUUUAUGGAUCUAGGUAUUUCAGAAAUCAAGAUCUCGCAUUAUCUUAAAAUUCGAUGUAUUGGUUUUAUAUUGGUUUAAUAACUCACAUCGAAGAGUAGGCUAUUUCAUUACACCAUGUGAACGUAUUAUUAGCCAAUACCAAUCCUUAGCUGGGCCCGUGACUAACAUGUGAAAAUCUCGGAGGAUUUCAUCACAAAGUACGUUAUAAUCGGCCUGUAAAUGUUCUAGCCGAAAUAUGAAAUCUUCUACACUUAGAUGUGCGUGUACUACCAUAACCGGCUGCUUCAUUUUGAGUCAUUACUGGCGUAUUGCCAUUUCUAAUAUUGGGAGUAGCAGAACUUACAGCUAUUGGUUCCUGUGGAAACUGCAGUCCUGUAUUCGCCCCAUUGUUCGGUAAGAUAUUAUUAUUAAUUUCAUAAAUAGACGGAUGUCUUGAUAUGUUUCCGCUGAUGUUCAGCGGCCUUGUUGUCGGAAAUGUAAAACUAUUACUUACAUUACUUCUAUUCGCAUUUGGAACUUGUCGUGUAUCUGCCAGAUCUUUGACGGCUGAAGACAAUUCCCCCACUCUUUUCUUAUAUACUUCUUUUCUAUAUUCAUCACUUUUCAACAAGAACGCUAAGAAACUUGAAUGUGAUUUAAUAAGCUUUAUAGUUUCCGAACAAUCAACCAGCAAAAUGUGAUUAGCAGCAAAAUAUAUAAU